rnacentral:snRNA from 1 species
AUGCUUACAUAAUAGGAAAGAUACCAUGGUUACAAAGGUGAUUUUCCCAGAAUCAGGAUCAUCCAUCACAUUUCAGAUGUGCUGACUCCUAUGAUUUUCCCAAAUGCAGGAAACUAGACAGCAUUAGUUUAUGGUAGUGGGGCAAUUUGUUUAUGUUCUCCCCUA